GAUGAACGCUGGCGGCGUGCUUAACACAUGCAAGUCGAGGGAAGCACUAAUUUUCAAUUCUUCGGAAGAGAUGUUUAGUGACUUACCGGCGGACGGGUGAGUAACGCGUGGGUAACCUGCCUCAUACAGGGGGAUAACAGUUAGAAAUGACUGCUAAUACCGCAUAAGAUCACAGUAUCGCAUGAUACAGUGAUAAAAACUCUGGUGGUAUGAGAUGGACCCGCGUCUGAUUAGCUAGUUGGUAAGGUAACGGCUUACCAAGGCAACGAUCAGUAGCCGGCCUGAGAGGGUGAACGGCCACAUUGGGACUGAGACACGGCCCAAACUCCUACGGGAGGCAGCAGUGAGGAAUAUUGCACAAUGGGGGAAACCCUGAUGCAGCGACGCCGCGUGAAGGACGAAGUAUUUCGGUACGUAAACUUCUAUCAGCAGGGAAGAAAAUGACGGUACCUGACUA
rnacentral:rRNA from 1 species